AAUAGAUACCCAGGUAGUCCACGCCGUAAACGAUGAGUGCUAAGUGUUAGAGGGUUUCCGCCCUUUAGUGCUGCAGCAAACGCAUUAAGCACUCCGCCUGGGGAGUACGGUCGCAAGACUGAAACUCAAAGGAAUUGACGGGGGCCCGCACAAGCGGUGGAGCAUGUGGUUUAAUUCGAAGCAACGCGAAGAACCUUACCAGGUCUUGACAUCCUUAUGCCUGCUCUGGAGACAGAGUUUUCCCUUCGGGGACAUAAGUGACAGGUGGUGCAUGGUUGUCGUCAGCUCGUGUCGUGAGAUGUUGGGUUAAGUCCCGCAACGAGCGCAACCCUUGAUCUUAGUUGCCAGCAUUCAGUUGGGCACUCUAAGGUGACUGCCGGUGACAAACCGGAGGAAGGUGGGGAUGACGUCAAAUCAUCAUGCCCCUUAUGACCUGGGCUACACACGUGCUACAAUGGAUGGUACAAAGGGCAGCAAAACCGCGAGGUUGAGCCAAUCCCAUAAAACCAUUCUCAGUUCGGAUUGC
rnacentral:rRNA from 1 species